CUUUAACUGCAAGGUAGGAGUGAGAACGAUAGGGUGCCUUUGGGGCGUAGCGGAAGACCAAGCCAAUCUCGAAAUCUCUAUCCUUCGGUCACUUUUCGUUAGUUAGGUUCAACAGUCGGUCAAAAAUCUCCUCUUCCUUCCCUUUUUCAGGCUUUUCAUUUGAGUUUCUAGCCAUGGAUCCAGUUUCAAUAUGAAAUAAAAAGCACGCCUGGGCCUGGGGUAAGCCCCUCCAGAGUAAGGCCAGUCGUAAUAGAAUACCUUCUACCGGAAAGAGUGAGUUCCAGAAAUCGAGUUGAGGAGGAGUACUUUAUAGGUUGUAGCAGUAUCAAUUGUAAGAAUAACACAGGGGUAGGCCUAUACAGUCUCUCUUGUCCCGGAGGCCAUGUUCGGUUUCGACAAAAUCUUUUCCAUCAUGUUUCAGUGCUUAUGCCUGCGAUCCUGUGCCAGUAGUCUAUUAUGCCUAAGGAGUAGAUGGAGUAUCUAUACAGAAGCGUCCUUUCUUUUCCUCUUACACAAAGAAAGGGCUUAGUGCAGUCCUGUUCCUAGCCAGUGUUAAGUGCUUUUAUAAGAGCAGUCCUACUUUCAGAGCCAGUGCGAGUUCCCUUUCAGCUCUCUCUUUUCAGCCAGAGGUUUCGAAGUCCCUCUUUCUAUCUUUCCAGUUAUUUCGUACCUAGUGGAAUAUAUGGAUAAUCCCCAAAAGCAAUAAAUGAAGAAUGGGAGUUGUAUAAAAAAGGGCCGUUACUUGUUGAAGUGCUUAUGUCUUAUCCUUCACUGGAGAGAUUGAAUUUUCUUUAUUACCUGCCUGAAAGUGUGGGGCUACUAUGAAAAAAAAAAGGCUAUCUUCCCAAUAGGCUGUGGGGGAAUACUCUAUUGGGCUUUCCCUGUUUUGAGGACUUCUAUCAUCAUAUGGUUGUUGAAAUACCUUCAUUUAAUUCUCUGCUAGGUCUAACGAUGACGAUGAGAGAGAGUACACCCGAAGUAUACGAGCAAAUAGUCAUUUUCCCACUUUAUUUUGGAAAGUUUGAUCCUCCCCCUAGUGUAAGAAAAUGGAUUUUCUGAGGGGGUCUGAGUAUCCAAUUCCCUUCGAGUUUCCUUUUUUUGAGGAAAAGCAAGUUCCCAGGCAGCUUCACUAUACGCUACUUGCAGCUAAUGGGAAUUUCCCUCUUCAUGCUGAACUAUAAUCUAGCGACUUACAGCCUGCCUCGUGGGAAUUCUGUUCCAUCUCGUAAACCAGAAAAGCCCCUACAGUUCUGGUAUCUAGUCUUUCUGCUUGCGAUUCAAGAAAAUCAUAAACCUCACCAGUUGGAGUUGCUUCGGAAUUCCCUGAGGUUUGAGUAGCCGUUUGAGUUUCGAGUCAUGCACUUCUAAGCGAUCCAGACGGGGACAGCGCAUAUAUGAAUUCUACUAGCUCAGUUCCUCCAGUUUCAGGUAAGUCUCUGUUUCUGUCGUUCAAGUCAAGUAACAGAAUCCCUUAAGUUCAAUCACUUUGCCCUUGAGUUGCAUUUUUCAUUCUCUUACCUGCGGUUGGAGUUCUAGUGCUUGAGAUUCAUUCCUUCUGUUUUUGGGGUUCCAGCCGAGCUAGUAUCAUUCUCAUUACCUACCAAGAGCAAGCCAGUUUCGUUAAUGCCUGAUAGUGUGAAAGCCUUUACAGCUGUUUGAUUUCCCAGGGCCAGCUAGCAUUCUUUUCCAGAGCUUUAUUACCUAGACUAUCCUAUUUCGAAAAAAGCCCUCAAUAACUGGUGUUGUCGGGGGGUCUAAGACACUAAUUGAUAGAUUGAUUUCCCUUAAUGAGGAAUAGUAUCAUAUGGGUUUGAAGGACUCCUUCUCAUAGGGUUUCUCUCCAGAUAAGUGAGUUGGAAAGCGAAAGCCAGUAAGAGGAACUCUUUCUUUCUCUGGUGGGGCUAACAAUAUUCGAGCGAAUUCCAUCAAGUGCAAGCUAUUCAGUCAAGCCAGUUGGAAUAGUUGAGAGCUCCACAAUCGAAGCAUAUUGAUUCCUUGAGGAAUUGAGAGGUCCAUCCUUUCAAGCAGGUUUUUUUAGGUCAAUCCAACAAGUAAGCUUUAGAUGACUUAAGGAAGAGAGCGGGUUCCUCAUUUCGGAUAUCAAGUUUCCAGUGACCCAUGGGGAGUAAGAGUUGAAAGAAUGGCAUU
rnacentral:lncRNA from 1 species